rnacentral:rRNA from 1 species
GACGAACGCUGGCGGCGUGCUUAACACAUGCAAGUCGAGCGGUAAGGCCCUUUCGGGGGUACACGAGCGGCGAACGGGUGAGUAACACGUGGGUGACCUGCCCUUAGCUCUGGGAUAAGCCUGGGAAGCUGGGUCUAAUACCGGAUAUGACUCCAUGACGCAUGUUGUGGGGUGGAAAGCCUUGUGCGGCUAGGGAUGGGCCCGCGGCCUAUCAGCUUGUUGGUGGGGUGAUGGCCACCAAGGCGACGACGGGUAGCCGGCCUGAGAGGGCGACCGGCCACACUGGGACUGAGACACGGCCCAGACUCCUACGGGAGGCAGCAGUGGGGAACCUUGCGCAAUGGGCGAAAGCCUGACGCAGCGACGCCGCGUGAGGGAUGACGGCCU